rnacentral:misc_RNA from 1 species
AACGCAUAUUGCGCUCUCUGGUAUUCCGGAGAGCAUGCUUGUUUGAGUAUCAGUAAACACCUCAACUUCCAUAUCUUUUUUGAAAUGGGAGUUGGACUUGAGUGAUCCCAACGCUUUUCCUCACCGAAAAGCGGCGGGUUACUUGAAAUGCAGGUGCAGCUGGACUUUUCUCUGAGCUAUAAGCAUAUCUAUUUAGUCUGCCUAAAAAACAGAUUAUUACCUUUGCUGCAGCUAACAUAAAGGAGAUUAGUUCUUGUGCUGACUGAUGCAGGAUUCACAAAGACAGGCUUCGGCCGACUUUGUAAACUCGAUCUCAAAUCAAGUAAGACUACCCGCUGAACUUAA